rnacentral:lncRNA from 1 species
AAAACCUUGGAUACACCCUUUCACAUACACACACUCUCUCGAUCUCUCUCUAUAUAUAUACCCACACAAUUACCACUUACCAUAAAAAAAAAAUCUUGAAACACCUCUCUCUGCCACUCUCUACACAUAUACUCAAGCAGUGGUCAUCAAAGAAUUCCUUAAGAACCUACAUAAAUGAAGAAAUACAUUUCAUUAUUCAUUAUAGGCCUUGCCGCAUUCUUUUUAUUAAAACCGAAUGAUUUCGACAACAAAAGCUACGAUGUUCGUAUCGUCAAUGGUUUCAGCAACAACUCGUCCUUGCCACUGGUCAUCUGGUGCGGAUCAGACGACGGCAAUGAUAUUGGCGGGCGGGCGCUGCAGGAGCGCGAUGACUAUAGCUGGAGCGUCAUAUCUGGCUUGUGGAAGACCCCACUGUACAUUUGCACCAUGAAAUGCGAUGGAAGAAGGAAAAAGUUCGAAGCAUUCCGUGUAAACCGCGACAGAUAUAGGUGUGGAAAUUAUAGGCAAUGCUUUUGGCUGGUCAAAGAAGAUGGGUUUUAUUUUAGCAAUGAUGAAAUAACAUGGAAAAAAGAUUUUUCGUGGACUUGAUGAGAUAUAGAGGAACUGUUUUAUUUCAUGAACGAAUAUAUAAAUUUGAAGCACUUCAAUAUAUUGUUAACAAGAAUUGAUGCUAUUCCAACCAUUGAUUUCAUCUUCAAGAAUUUUACAGUUCUAAUUUAUGAACUAUCG